rnacentral:lncRNA from 1 species
AAAACGUCGUUUCCUGGGAACAACCUUUGCUCUUGACUGCUACGAGCAAGCCGCAGCCAAACGCUCAGACUUUCAUGGUGGCGCUCAAGGCACGCGGCGACAUAGCAGAGAAGAGGCUCCACUCGCAGAUCUGGGAGAGAAAUCUGGAGGGAAUCCACUACUCAGCGUGGUCGCUCAAUGAGAGAAAAGCUUUUCUUGGGAGGUUGGUAAACUUUGCAAGGAAAGAGUGUCAUGCAAGGUUGAUGGAGCCGUCAAUCAAAGAUGGUACCUGAAAAGACGCGAAUGGAUCUUAGCUGGCACACCUUGGUGAAGAGAUAAAAAAUAUGAGAGACAAUACUUAUCUCUUAAUUAAUUUGCUGUAGUAUCAUUCAUUGAGUAAUUUAGUUAUAAGCUUAUUUGAGAUUAA